rnacentral:tRNA from 1 species
UGGGGUGUAGCCAAGCGGUAAGGCAACGGACUUUGACUCCGUCAUGCGUAGGUUCGAACCCUACCACCCCAGCCA